GCCUGGGUGGCUCAGCUGGUUGGGUGUCCGACUCUUGGUUUCGGCUUGGGUCAUGAUCGCAGUAUCGUGGGUUCGAGCCCCACUUCGGGCU
rnacentral:tRNA from 1 species